AUCUUUCCUGCAUGACCUACAACUUAUCAUAGGAAGGUUGUGAGGAAAAGAAGUGUCAGAGUACUAUAACAUAUGGGGGAAAUUUUAUCAAUGGAUAGAAAGAACAGCAGAGUCAACUGGAAUCAACAUCAGAUUAAAUAAUGGUGACCUAUGAAAAAUGUGCGUGUGCCCUAUUGGACAAAUUCAAGACUAGUGAAUGUAUGAAGACUGAAGAGAUACCAGAACCAAGAAGUCACCCAAAAGGCAACAGGACUACUGGAUGAAGAAAGUAUUUGCAUUUGAUGUCCCAGCAGAAAACACAGUGGGCUGCCCAGGGUUGAAUGCAAUUUUUUUCCAGAGGAAAUCUGAAGAAUUGAGGCAUUAAGAGAUGACAUUUUUCAAUUCUUGAAAUGGCAGAGAAACUUCCCCAUGAGGCUUCUGUUGUAUAAUUAUUCUACCUAAACACAGAAUUUGGAGGUGCAGAUGAUAUCAUCUUUAUCUUGAAUGUUUCCCAUUUUUCCAACUCCAGCUUUUUUUCCCGUUGAAACAAAAAAAGAUAAAAGUU